AUUGAACGCUGGCGGCAGGCCUAACACAUGCAAGUCGAACGGUAACAGGAAGAAGCUUGCUUCUUUGCUGACGAGUGGCGGACGGGUGAGUAAUGUCUGGGAAACUGCCUGAUGGAGGGGGAUAACUACUGGAAACGGUAGCUAAUACCGCAUAACGUCGCAAGACCAAAGAGGGGGACCUUCGGGCCUCUUGCCAUCGGAUGUGCCCAGAUGGGAUUAGCUAGUAGGUGGGGUAACGGCUCACCUAGGCGACGAUCCCUAGCUGGUCUGAGAGGAUGACCAGCCACACUGGAACUGAGACACGGUCCAGACUCCUACGGGAGGCAGCAGUGGGGAAUAUUGCACAAUGGGCGCAAGCCUGAUGCAGCCAUGCCGCGUGUAUGAAGAAGGCCUUCGGGCUGUAAAGUACUUUCAGCGGGGAGGAAGGGAGUAAAGUUAAUACCUUUGCUCAUUGACGUUACCCGCAGAAGAAGCACCGGCUAACUCCGUG
rnacentral:rRNA from 1 species